rnacentral:lncRNA from 1 species
CUGACAACAACAAAAUAACUAAAUAAUAUAAAUAUAUAAAGAAGAGAAUAUAAAGCCAGAGUUUAUAUUAACCGCAACUUAAAACAGUAAGGCACAUAUCAAUAAUUAAACAAGAUCAUUAUUAAAUGAAAACAAAUGAAUUAAACAGUUAAUACAAUUAAACUAAAUUAAACGAAAAGCAAACGUUUCAAAGUAAAACAAAUCAAAGUUGACCUCAUCAAGAAUCACCAAACACCAAAGUAAAGAAAUAUGUAUGUAUAAAUGUUAAACAAGAAUACAAUACGUGUAUAUGCAUAUGUAUGUAUGUAUAUUACAUAUAGUGCAUGCAUAUGUAUAUUCUGAAUAUAUUUAGCAAAGAGAGACAAAUUAAAAUAUUAUAUUUUGUAGAUUUUUAGUAAACUAGAAGUGAGUGAACAUGGACAGCAUAUAUCUACAAUAUAUACUAACUGUAUACAUACAUACAUACAGUACAUACUCGUACAUCCCUGCAUACUACAUAGAAUACAUAGUAUAGACAUGUACGUAGCUCUCUGUACCCGAGUUGUUUGGGGAAACAAACGAGAAUAUGGAAAAGCUUUAAGAAACCCAAAUGGUUGGACGAAACUUUUAUAUCUACGCUCGAAUAAAAGUUGAAUGAAUUGCUCAAAUGGAGUAAGUAUGUACCUCCCAUGUCAUACUGCUGAACAGGAGGCGGGCAUCAGUAGCCGUAGAUGUGAGGAGAUGUCAGGCAUUGAUGCGAGUAUACGUAUACAAACAAAUCAUUAAUUCAAAAUGUUAUUAACAAGAGCACACCAAAAUGAAAAUUGUAAUAAGCUGCAUGUGUUGAUUGCGAGGGAGCAUAAAUUAAAUUUCAAUAUAAUAGUGAAAUGUACGAUUAAGUAACUAAAACUAAAGUAAAACCUAAUGCAAAAAAAACUACAAACCUACAACAAGCAAGCAAAUUGUUUACUUCAAAAGUACGAGUAUUUCUGCGCAUUUAAGCAAAAUCGUAAAAACAAAUGGUUCAACACUUCCAAUUAAAUGAGUCGAAAUUUUGUUAGCCAAUUAAAUACGAAAACACAUUCAAAUUAUACACGAAACAAGAUUUCAAUAAACAACAACAAGCUAACAAAAAAAAAACAAAAACAAAAACAAAAUUCGAAAGAAAACCCAAUACAAUUGUUAGAAAACGCAUGCAAAUGUUAGCGCUGAUGUUGCGUGGGGAAAGAAGUGGGCAUUUUAAGGGUAAAAUAUGUAUUACCAACAAAACGAAGCAGAAAAGUAUAACUCGAAAUUCAUUAGAGAACGUAUGUGAAGUAUAUGCAUGUAUAUGUAUAUGUAUAUGUAUAUAUGCAUCAUAUAUAAUAUUAUUAACUAUUAUUAUGUAUUUGAAAACAAAGAAAUGUGAAUUAGUAUUAAACCAACAAAAAUGGCAAACAAAUGGUGGUAAAUAAAGAAUGUAAAAGACAAAAUAAAAAGAAAACCUUCACGAGAACUGUGGUACGUCCAGAUCGCACGUGAAACAGCGGAGUUAAGUCUAUUUCUAGAUGUUCAAUCACUUUCAAUCAGCUCCAUUUUAACUGUUUAAGUUACUCAAACAAGUUCAACAAAAAAAUAUUUAAAUACUGGGUUUUUUUCAUUACGCUAUAACUCGGCAACAAGGACCCCUAUCUGGGCGUGGCAUGUCUUUUCGAAACCAGUAAGUUCUUUUUCAUCUUUUUCUGAAUCCUGGCGAUCCUGACAAAAUAGGUCCCUUCAGA